UGCAGCCAGCGCAACCCCAGCAC
rnacentral:piRNA from 1 species